rnacentral:rRNA from 1 species
GUCCACGCCCUAAACGGUGGGUACUAAGUGUGGGAGGUAUCGACCCCUCCCGUGCCGCAGCUAACGCAUUAAGUACCCCGCCUGGGAAGUACGGCCGCAAGGUUGAAACUCAAAAGGAAUUGACGGGGGCCCGCACAAGCGGUGGAGCAUGUGGUUUAAUUCGACGCAACGCGAAGAACCUUACCUGGGCUUGACAUCUGGGGAAUCUCUCAGAAAUGAGAGAGUGCCUAGCAAUAGGAGCCCCAAGACAGGUGCUGCAUGGCUGUCGU